CCUACGGGGAGCUGCAGUGGGGAAUAUUGGACAAUGGGGGGAACCCUGAUCCAGCGACGCCGCGUGAGUGAAGAAGCAUUUCGGUAUGUAAAGCUCUAUCAGCAGGGAAGAAAAUGACGGUACCUGACUAAGAAGCCCCGGCUAACUACGUGCCAGCAGCCGCGGUAAUACGUAGGGGGCAAGCGUUAUCCGGAUUUACUGGGUGUAAAGGGAGCGCAGACGGCAAUGCAAGUCUGAAGUGAAAGGCGUGGGCUCAACCCAUGAACUGCUUGGGAAACUGUAUAGCUUGAGUGUCGGAGGGGUAAGCGGAAUUCCUAGUGUAGCGGUGAAAUGCGUAGAUAUUAGGAGGAACACCGAAGGCGAAGGCAGCUUACUGGACGACAACUGACGUUGAGGCUCGAAGGCGUGGGGAGCAAACAGGAUUAGAUACCCUGGUAGUC
rnacentral:rRNA from 1 species